CCAGACUCCUACGGGAGGCAGCAGUGGGGGAUAUUGGACAAUGGGGGAAACCCUGAUCCAGCGACGCCGCGUGAGUGAAGAAGUAUUUCGGUACGUAAAGCUCUGUCAGCAGGGAAGAAAGAAAUGACGGUACCUGACCAAGAAGCCCCGGCUAACUACGUGCCAGCAGCCGCGGUAAUACGUAGGGGGCAAGCGUUAUCCGGAUUUACUGGGUGUAAAGGGAGCGUAGACGGCGAUGCAAGUCUGAAGUGAAAGGCGGGGGCCCAACCCCCGGACUGCUUCGGAAACUGUAUGGCUGGAGUGCAGGAGAGGUAAGUGGAAUUCCUAGUGUAGCGGUGAAAUGCGUAGAUAUUAGGAGGAACACCAGUGGCGAAGGCGGCUUACUGGACUGUAACUGACGUUGAGGCUCGAAAGCGUGGGGAGCAAACAGGAUUAGAUACCCCAGUA
rnacentral:rRNA from 1 species